rnacentral:rRNA from 1 species
UACGGAAGGGGGCUAGCGUUGCUCGGAAUCACUGGGCGUAAAGCGCACGUAGGCGGACUCUUAAGUCGGUGGUGAAAUCCUGGAGCUCAACUCCAGAACUGCCUUCGAUACUGGCGAUCUUGAGUCCGGAAGAGGUGAGUGGAACUCCUAGUGUAGAGGUGGAAUUCGUAGAUAUUAGGAAGAACACCGGUGGCGAAGGCGGCCAUCUGGACCGCAACUGACGCUGAGGCGCGAAAGCGGUGGGGAGCAAACAGG